rnacentral:rRNA from 1 species
GAUGAACGCUGGCGGCGUGCCUAAUACAUGCAAGUCGAGCGAACGGACGAGGAGCUUGCUCCUCUGAUGUUAGCGGCGGACGGGUGAGUAACACGUGGAUAACCUACCUAUAAGACUGGGAUAACUUCGGGAAACCGGAGCUAAUACCGGAUGAUAUAUUGAACCGCAUGGUUCAAUAGUGAAAGACGGUCUUUCUUUCACUUAUAGAUGGAUCCGCGCUGCAUUAGCUAGUUGGUAAGGUAACGGCUUACCAAGGCAACGAUGCAUAGCCGACCUGAGAGGGUGAUCGGCCACACUGGAACUGAGGAACGGUCCAGACUCCUACGGGGGGCAGCAGUAGGGAAUCUUCCGCAAUGGGCGAAAGCGUGACGGAGCAACGCCGCGUGAGUGAUGAAGGUCUUCGGAUCGUAAAACUCUGUUAUUAGGGAAGAACAAAUGUGUAAGUAACUGUGCACAUCUUGACGGUACCUAAUCAGAAAGCCACGGCUAACUACGUG